rnacentral:rRNA from 1 species
UACGUAAGGUCCGAGCGUUGUCCGGAAUCAUUGGGCGUAAAGGGUAUGUAGGCGGAUAAGAAAGUUAGAAGUGAAAUCCUAUAGCUCAACUAUAGUAAGCUUUUAAAACUGCUAAUCUUGAGGUAUGGAAGGGAAAAUGGAAUUCCUAGUGUAGCGGUGAAAUGCGCAGAGAUUAGGAGGAAUACCGGUGGCGAAGGCGACUUUCUGGACAUUAACUGACACUGAGGUACGAAAGCGUGGGUAGCAAACAGG